CAGGGAGGGAUCAACUUUCCAGCUCCCAACACAAGUUGAGUCUGCUCGCACUGCUGUUGGACUUAGAAGAAAAAUUAUAUAUGUUGGUUUUUGAUGUCUCUGGGCUUAGGGUACCUUCUGCUCAUCCCACGUGAACUGCAGAAGAGGAAGGGCAAUCACUGUCCCUUGUUUGUGGAGGCUGUAAGUCCUGGGCCUAAAAACUCUUAUGCUAUUACGCAAAAAUGAAACUAUGCUUUUUUUUUUUUUUUUUUUUUUUAAAUCAUGUUUUCUUCCCUUGACUUACAAUUUUGAGAAUUUAAUUCUUUAUCUUUUUGUUGGGGUCUGCAGCGGGUCUGCAGACAAGUUAGUUGACUUCAAAGACUUAGCCGUGUACCUUUAAGACAGCCACAAACUGUCAGGUAUGUAAACAGGGUGUGAAGAAUCAGAGCUUAGAACCGCAGCAUACGGGCACCUACAGCAACAGCAAAUAGCAAGCAAGAAGGAGGACACAAAAACCUAUCAAGGUCUAACACCUGCACUGUCUAAGAUAUACAAAUAGUUUGUAUAAACAAUAAAGGCCAUUUUGUCUGAACCUAGCCACGCAGACAUAGUGUUUCUUUUCAGUCCGCCUCAACUUUCGUCACCGCAUCUUUUCCUUUUUUCUUGCAAAUUACACUCUCCACUUGUGAUCUGUUCAGUUUGGACUCAUAAGUGUGUCUGGUCAACACAAACAUUGUGGAAUAUUGCCACUGUCACACGCUAAUCAAAUAACUGAUCCAAAGCUAUGUGGCUUUGUGACUAAUAUGUGGAUUAUAAUAAUAUAGUUCAGAUAUCAUUGCCACUGGCCUCUUGCUUUGCUCACCAGCAGAACUUAAAGGUGCUCUAAUUAUCACAACUAUCAUUAGCUCUCAAACCUCUGUAGUAUGCCUCCUGCAGAGUUUAACUGAACUUUUAAUUCUGCUGAAUCCGUUUGUCUAUCUGUAAAGGCUUUUGUCUCUAAUAGUCUUAUUACUUAAGACAACUUAAGGUACAAAUACACAUCUCAGGAGGUAAAAGAUAUUAAAAUAACUGAUAAGUACUUCCAAAUGGGAGAGAUUGUGAAGUUAUUCCGAAAACUGUUUCCAAAGCUCAAGAGACAUUAAUUUUAUGUUCUAGGAUUGUAAUAUUUUUUUUUAAGUAAAAGCUUGAGUACACAAAGUAAGUAUACAUCAGUUGCUUCAGUUAUACUUUGGCUAGACAAAGGUCUUUGUGUUUGUAAUGUGUGCUAAGUCGUGCCAUUUUGAAUUAGUCUUCAAAGGAGCAAAAUUGGUACUUGCUAAAAUCAUAAAACAAUGCUUUCUAUGCCAGCCUACAGAAGCUAUGAGCAGCAGAACUGGCACUGUGUCCUGCAUCCUUCUCUCCCACUUUUUAAAGUCUUCCUGUUGGCCCAGUUAUGACCACUUUGCUCCACCUACAUUUCCCAGCUACUGGCAGGUCUAAGGUUACCUUUGUGGUGUUAAGGUCAGGAAGUCAGGGAGGUACUAGUUUGGCUUUCCACCUGCUAUCCAUUGAGUAGUUUUCAUGAAGCCUUACGGAAUUUAUACUUUGAAAUUUCUGUUUCCUUGAUAAAUGUGGUUGGAAUUAGCAAAGUGCUGGUAAGGGGGAUGGACGUCAAAGUGAUUAUAUGGUCUUUCAUUAUAUUUAUUUCUUGGAAACUAGAAGAAAUGAUAGCCAAACAAAGGUUGAAACGAUAACAAAAGCUCACUGAACUUCAUCAGUAACUAUGAAACAUUGAUUCUGGGAGCAAAUGUAUUAUCUUCAACUUUUUUUUUUUUUUUUUUCAGAAAGCCAGAGAGACAGAAAAACUUGCAAGUAUUUCUCAGCUUUGUAAAGAGUACAGUAAUAUAAUCUUUGAUAAUAACUAACUUUGUUAACUUUUGUUUCCUUUCAGGAAUAUCCAGCAUGAUUAUAGAGCAAUAUGCAAAUGAAAAGCAACUACACAGAAUUAGAAAAAAUUGGCAGCAUGCCAACAGGAACAGUAGAUGUUGUAGAGCAGCUUAAAGAAUUGUGUUGACAUUGUAAUACAUUUUUGCACAGUUUUGAAAACUUUUUCUACAAAAAUAAAGGACAGUAAAAAUAUUUUUAACUCAGAA